UCUUCCGACUUCGUGAAGCACCUCUCAGAAUUCCGGGUCAUCUUCGACAGCCUUGAGCCCCACCGGUUAGCUGGGACCCAGAAUAUGGCAGGAUGAGCCCAUUGAGGGGACGAGUCCCUAGGAAAGGCUUGUCUGGGAGCCUUCUCUAAGGGGCCACCCAGGGUUGCCCUGUGGCUGUGGCCACAUCUCCUCUGUGCCCCCAGUGCCAUACCCCUGGGAUAGCCCACUCUCCCUAGCUGUCCAGCUGGCCGAAUCCCUGGGGCCACCAACCUCCUUCCAACAGGCUGGCUCUCAGGGAGGUGUGGGCCACUGUUGCAGGGAGGCUUUGCCUGGCAUCUGGGACCAGUACCUAGACCAGUUCCAGAAGCUGCUAGUCCUCCGCUGCCUGCGUGGGGACAAGGUUACCAAUGCCAUGCAGGACUUUGUGGCCACCAACCUGGAGCCACGCUUCAUUGAGCCCCAGACAGCCAACCUGUCCGUGGUGUUCAAAGACUCCAACUCCACCACGCCCCUCAUCUUUGUGCUGUCACCUGGCACAGACCCUGCUGCCGACCUCUACAAGUUU
rnacentral:sRNA from 1 species